AGUUGAAAGUGGCCAUUACGUUCAACCACCUGUUCAAUCCAGGAAUCCAAUUUAAAGCAUCCCCCACAAAUAGCUGUUCAGUCUCCGCUUGAACACACCCAGGGACAGGAGAGCUACAAUCCUAGUUUGUAGCAUGGAAAGACCAGUGAUGGAGUAAAGCAAAGUGACCUGCUAUCUGCUACACAUACCAUAACAUGUAAUGAUGGGAAUGAUGAAGAAAGAAAGAAAUUUAAAGCCAUACAGCAGAAGUUUGAAGCUGGCCUACUAUGUGCCAUGAAAAAUGUAACAUUGGAA